AAAUUAUUAAAAAGAAAUAAACAUUUUAUAAAAUUAUUUUUUUAUAUAAAUUAUAUUUAUAUUUCUUGUAACAAUUGGUAUUUAAUUAAAUUUUUAAAAAAAAGGUUGAAAACUAAGGAUUCAAAUGAAUUAGCUACGAAUGUAAAUAUAAUACUUGAGUAUAUUAUUAGUAGCAAAUCGAAUGGAUAUCAUAUGAUACAAUCUAGUUUUUUUCAAUUAACACAUGAUAUUUUUAAAUUGUAUAAUCGUAAAAAUGCUAUAAUAAACUAUAAGAUAUUAAAAUAUAUUAAAAAUAAUAAAGACAAUUUGUGUUAUAUAUUUGAUACCAUACUUAUCAGUAUGUUUAAUAUAGUGUGUGAAAUGGAGAAUAUUUAUGCUGAUUUACAAGAAACGUGUCAAUACAGUAUGCUAAGUGGUAGCAGUCGUCGGGCAAGUCGCAGUGGCAGUCGUAGCAACAAACAUAUUGUGUCAUCUGGGGGAAACAGAUAUCGUUCAAAAUCUGGAACUAAAGAAGAAGCAGUAGAAAAAAUACAAAAUGGAUAUCAUCAUAACGAAUGGGAUAAAUCACAUGAACAAACAUGUACAAAAGAUGAUGUUAUCCCUUCUGGUAACAAAGUUAAUAACGAAUGUAACAUAAGUUCGGAAAAACAAAAUAAAAUGAGAAGAAGGUUUUCUAAAAACAUGAAUAAUAAUUUUGUUUGCGAUAAUUCUGAACCACUUUGGAGUAUUGAACACAGUAAUAGCAACAACAGCAACUACAAUAAGAGCGGAUGCAGUAUGAGUAGAAAUAAUGACAACCCAUUAGAAAAGUAUCUGAAAAAACUUAAAUGCAAAUUAGAUUAUAUGAAUUUUUUUUUUUCUAGUAUUAGCAAUUUUAUUUUAUGGCUAUACAAACAAAAAGUUAGUAAAAGAAUAUACAAUGCUCGAAAUAAAAUGAGACUAACAAAUUAUGAAAAUAAUAUGGCUAUAAUAAUAUGUUAUAUAUGUACGGAAGGUAACUUGAACUCAUUUUUUUUUACAAAUUAUUUAGAUGUUUUUUUUAUUUUAUUAUUAAAAAUUUUGUAUUUAAAUGAAGACAUAACUGAGUUGAAUAAUGAUGUAAUGACUAUUAUAGAAAAGGAACAAAAAAAAAAGAAGAAA
rnacentral:lncRNA from 1 species